AGUGAACGCUGGCGGCAGGCCUAAUACAUGCAAGUCGAACGGCAGCACAGUGGAGCUUGCUCCAUGGGUGGCGAGUGGCGGACGGGUGAGGAAUACAUGGGAAUCUGCCCAGUCGUGGGGGAUAACGUAGGGAAACUUACGCUAAUACCGCAUGCGCCCUUCGGGGGAAAGCCGGGGACCUUCGGGCCUGGCGCGAUUGGAUGAGCCCAUGUUCGAUUAGCUAGUUGGCGGGGUAAAGGCCCACCAAGGCGACGAUCGAUAGCUGGUCUGAGAGGAUGAUCGGCCACACUGGGACUGAGACACGGCCCAGACUCCUACGGGAGGCAGCAGUAGGGAAUAUUGGACAAUGGGCGCAAGCCUGAUCCAGCCAUGCCGCGUGAGUGAAGAAGGCCCUCGGGUUGUAAAGCUCUUUUGUCCGGGAAGAAAAGCAUCGGGCUAAUACCUCGGUGUUCUGACGGUACCGGAAGAAUAAGCACCGGCUAACUUCGUG
rnacentral:rRNA from 1 species